rnacentral:rRNA from 1 species
AGUGAACGCUGGCGGCGUGCUUAACACAUGCAAGUCGAACGAGAACGGUCCUUCGGGAUGUCAGCUAAGUGGCGGACGGGUGAGUAAUGUAUAGUUAAUUUGCCUCUUGGAGGGGGAUAACAGUUGGAAACGACUGCUAAUACCCCAUACUCCUUUCUACUUAAUGUAGAUUGGGAAAUGUUUUUUCGCCAAGAGAUAAGACUAUAUGGUAUCAGGUAGUUGGUAGGGUAAGAGCCUACCAAGCCUAUGACGCCUAGCUGGUCUGAGAGGAUGAUCAGCCACACUGGAACGUGAGACACGGUCCAGACUCCUACGGGAGGCAGCAGUGGGGAAUCUUAGACAAUGGGCGAAAGCCUGAUCUAGCCAUGCCGCGUGAGUGAAGAAGGCCCUAGGGUCGUAAAACUCUUUCGCCAGAGAUGAUAAUGACAGUAUCGUGGUAAAGAAACCCCGCUAACU